AUGCCGAAACAAGAUCUGCAAUGGCAGUAUGUGUCAGUGUGUGUCCACGAGAGACUUCUACCCCUCAGCACAGCCAUUGUCAGUCACUGGGACAGCACACAGCACUCCUCUGAGCAGCCCACAGAUGCCUAUGGAGAACUGGAGUUUGUAGGGGCUGGCAAGAGACACAGCUAUGAGUGGAUCAUAACCGCAGGACUGAGGGAAGGCAUCGGCAAGUGUGUAGGAGAGGCUGUGAGAGAUCAGGCCACUGCAGUGUCUUCUGUACCUUGAUUUGGACAAGCAUUAGAUACAUCUCUGAUGAAUUCAAUGCCCUGAUUAGUCCUGGCUGGUUCGGGUGGGCUUGCCAAUCUUGUGAGUGACAUUGUGGACAACGUGCAGUCUGCUUCGGUGCCUGUACUUGGAGCAGAGAAGAAGGAAGCCACUCCCAAUGUGGAGCUUAGAGAACGAAUAGCCAUGAAAGUAAAAAAAUACUUUCCUUCAGAGCGAGACAUGGACAAGCUUGUUGACAAGGUGAACGUCACACUCUUUACUUAAUCAUGUAACACCAUCAAAGUGGGCUAUUUUGUGUCAGAACUUAAGAAACCUCCCCAGCUCAAAUUUUGGAUUUUUUAAAGCAUUUUUCUGAAGAAAGACAAACAUAA
ensembl:lncRNA